GGAUCCUGAGCUGCCAAAGCCACUGUCCUGAACUCCCGCGCGGGUUCCUCUAAUCCCAUUGUCUCUUUUAGAUUCGCUUGGGCCUGUCCACUCUCUGAGCCCCAAAUUCGGGCUGGGUGGUACCACAGCCUGGGCCUAGUGGCUUAACGGUAGCAACAGCAGCGGCAGCCACAGACCCCCUCUUUCUGAAUACGAGCACCGCAGGGACCCGGAAAGCCCGCACAGUCGUUUAGAGAAAAUGGCAGACGGUAUUGAUAUUGAAGCAAUGCUUGAGGCUCCUUACAAGAAGGAUGAGAACAAGUUGAGCAGUGCUAACGGCCAUGAAGAACGUACCAAAAAGAGGGAAAAAAGCAAGAGCAGAAGUCGUAGUCAUGAACGAAAAAGAAGCAACAGUAAGGAACGGAAGCGAAGUAGAGAUAGAGAAAGGAAAAAGAGCAAAAGCCGUGAAAGGAAGCGAAAUAGAAGCAAAGAAAGGAGACGGAGCCGAUCAAGAAGGCGAGAUCGCAGAUUCAGAGGCCGCUACAGAAGUCCUUACAGACGACGUUCUCGAAGCAAAAGUCCAUUCAGAAAAGACAAGAGCCCUGUGAGGGAACGUAUUGAUAAUCUCACUCCUGAGGAAAGAGAUGCAAGGACUGUUUUCUGCAUGCAGCUGGCAGCGAGAAUUCGGCCAAGGGAUUUGGAAGAGUUUUUCUCUACAGUUGAGAAGGUUCGUGAUGUGAGGAUGAUGUCUGACAGAAAUUCAAGACGUUCCAAAGGAAUUGCUUUAUGUGGAGUUUGUUGAUGUUAGCUCAGUGCCUCUAGCAAUAGGAUUAACUGGUCGGUGGGUUUUAGGAGUGCCGAUCAUAGUACAAGCAUCACAGGCAGAAAAAAACAGAGCCUCAGCAAUGGCAAACAAUCUACAAAAGGGAAGUGCUGGACCUAUGAGGCUUUAUGUGGGCUCGUUACACUUUAACAUAACUGAAGAUAUGCUUCGAGGGGUUUUUGAGCCAUUUGGAAGGACUGAAAGUAUCCAGCUCAUGAUGGAUAGUGAAACAGGUCGAUCCAAGGGAUAUGGAUUUAUUACGUUUUCUGAUUCAGAAUGUGCCAAGAAAGCUUUGGAACAACUUGAUGGAUUUGAGCUAGCAGGAAGGCCCAUGAAAGUUGGUCAUGUUACUGAACGUACUGAUGCUUCCAGUGCUAGCUCAUUUUUGGACAGUGAUGAACUGGAAAGGACUGGAAUUGACUUGGGAACAACUGGUCGUCUCCAGUUAAUGGUAAGACUUGCAGAGGGUACAGGUUUGCAGAUCCCGCCAGCAGCACAGCAAGCUUUGCAAAUGAGUGGCUCUUUGGCAUUUGGUGCUGUGGCAGAUUUGCAAACAAGACUUUCCCAACAGACUGAAGCUUCAGCGUUAGCUGCAGCUGCCUCUGUUCAACCUCUGGCAACACAGUGUUUCUAACUCUCUAACAUGUUUAAUCCUCAAACAGAAGAAGAAGUUGGAUGGGAUACAGAGAUUAAAUACGAUGUGAUUGAAGAAUGCAAUAAACACGGAGGAGUUAUUCAUAUUUAUGUUGACAAAAAUUCAGCUCAGGGCAAUGUGUAUGUGAAGUGCCCAUCAAUUGUUGUAGCCAUUGCUGCUGUCAAUGUGUUGCAUGGCAGGUGGUUUGUGGGUAAAAUGGUAACAGCAACAUAUGUAUCUCUUCCAACUUAUCACAACCUCUUCCCUGAUUCUCUGACAGCAACACAACUACUGGUUCCAAGUAGACGAUGAAC